rnacentral:rRNA from 1 species
UACAGAGGGGGCAAGCGUUAUUCGGAAUUAUUGGGCGUAAAGGGCGCGUAGGCGGCUUGGCAAGUGGAUGGUGAAAUCCCUCGGCUUAACCGAGGAACUGCCGUCCAAACUGCUUCGCUUGAGACCGGGAGAGGUGAGUGGAAUUCCCAGUGUAGCGGUGAAAUGCGUAGAUAUUGGGAGGAACACCAGUGGCGAAGGCGGCUCACUGGACCGGUUCUGACGCUGAGGCGCGAAAGCGUGGGGAGCAAACGGG